CGGAGUCAAUGUCGUUAGCAACUACUCGAUUGGCACCACACAGUUUUGCAGCGAUGGCCGAAGCUCCACAGCCACUUCCCAGAUCCAAGACGGAUUUUCCAAAACAUAUUCCGGGAUUAUCCAGAAGAUACCUGCAGGAAACUGGAGUACCCGCGGAAGACUACAAAAGCAAGGGGAGAACAUACAAGAGUCACACAAGAAGGCCUGAGUCUGUUUUCGAAUGGCCCACCUUGGAACUGAAUGUGCAUCCACUGUGCCCCACGGGAAAAAACAGAAGCUCGUUACAGUAGAGUUGUGAUCUCAGCUGCACCUCUCCUCGCUUCAUCUAGAAGGAGAGAUCAUCUUCGUGGAGGGCUCAUCGUUGAAAGAGUUCUGAAGAGGAGGAGGAGCGACAAAACUCAGCCCCUCCCGGAUGACCGAGCUUUUCACCCUAUCCAGAGAGCCCAGACACCCACACCAGCUGCUUCUCGCCAUGAUCUUGUUCUUUCAGUCACAACCCACAGCAUGUGACCAUAGGCGAGGUAUGUUUAAGCUGUCACUGGAGCCAACCACCACACCAACCCAUGACGCAGCACACCUCACUGCCAUCUACCCAACCCUACGUAGGAGAGCAAGGAGUCCCCACCUGCCAAGAGAGCAGAACGCAGGGUCCAGCCAACACCCAAUGGGGGCCAACCCACGAGCAGCCAGCCACCCUAGCUGGGAAUUAGGAAAGGCAGGUUUUCCAGAAAAUAGGAGACAAAGAUGGGGUCCAAAGAGGUCUACUGCAGUGAAGUGUGUAGCCCACAUCAUCCCCUGCAACGAGCUGACCAGAGGGUGCCAGGACCCACGAAUCAUGUCGUGAGUCUUGUGAGUAUCUACCUCCACCCUGUUACUAUAGUUACCAGAUCCCCGACUGGCGGCCAUUGUUCCUGCAUCAUGUUAGAAAAUCAUCAAAUCAUUCUUAAAUGCCUCUGUACACUCUUCUGUCCUAACCUGUCUAUAUUGUGGUCUAUUGUCCUGAACG